rnacentral:rRNA from 1 species
GGUGAACGCUGGCGGCGUGCCUAACACAUGCAAGUCGAUCGGAGCAGCAAUGCUUAGAGGCGAACGGGUGAGGAAAACGUAGUAACCAACCCUUUAGACUGGGAUAGCCACUGGAAACGGUGGGUAAUACCGGAUAAGCUCGAGAGAGGAAAGGCAGAGAAGCGCUAAAGGACGGAACUGCGCCCCAUCAGAUAGUUGGUGAGGUAAAGGCUUACCAAGUCAAAGACGGGAAACCGACGUGAGAGCGUGUACGGUCACAAGGGCACUGAGAGACGGGCCCUACUCCUACGGGAGGCAGCAGUGAGGAAUAUUGGUCAAUGGACGAGAGUCUGAACCAGCCAAGUCGCGUGAAGGAAGACGGUUCUAUGAAUUGUAAACUUCUUUUGUGCAGGAAUAAAGUGGGUUACGUGUAACCUUUUGUAUGUACUGUACGAAUAAGGAUCGGCUAACUCCGUG